UUUGAAUACUGUCUGCGAUACGCUUAUAGGAAAUACGUGGAGGACCCCGAAUCCUAUGAUCGGAGGUCCGAGAAAAAGAAGCAGAAGUAUGGCACAAAAUUGCGCAUUAGGCGACAAUUCCCGUGCGCCAAGCAACCUGAAGGGUCAGUUCUGUGUGGAUACCAUGCUUGUGACUACCUCAGGCGUUGCGGAGAGUACAGCCGCAGCUGGCGACAACUCAAAAAAUCUACGGGAUAUUGGAGAAGGCAAAAGGUGGACAAGACAAUCAUCAAAUAUACAAUAUCUG